AAAGCGUGCGCAGGCGGUUUUGUAAGACUGUCGUGAAAUCCCCGGGCUCAACCUGGGAAUGGCGAUGGUGACUGCAAGGCUAGAGUUUGGCAGAGGGGGGUAGAAUUCCACGUGUAGCAGUGAAAUGCGUAGAUAUGUGGAGGAACACCGAUGGCGAAGGCAGCCCCCUGGUUCAAAACUGACGCUCAUGCACGAAAGCGUGGGGAGCAAACAGGAUUAGAUACCCGAGU
rnacentral:rRNA from 1 species